GUGCGAUAAGUAAUGUGAAUUGCAGAAUUCCGUGAAUCAUCGAAUCUUUGAACGCAUAUUGCACUCUCUGGUAUUCCGGUGAGUAUGCCUGUUUGAGGGUCAGUUAAAUAAAAAUCGGGGUAUUUGCUGCCUUUUCGUGGUGAAGCUUCGGAAUUGGGUCGUCUUUACCUAUCCGGUUAAGUGACCUAAAAUUUUUGUAUGAUAUCUGAACGUAUUUAAAUUUAUUUGAUACGUUUUGUAAUAUCGAAUGUUUAUUAGGUGUGGUCAUUCUCAUGACUCACGUCUAUAAUUUUUCAUCUAAUGACCUCAAAUCAGGUAAGAGUACCCGCUGAACUUAA
rnacentral:misc_RNA from 1 species